UAUGCCAAACACAACAAAAGCAGCAAAAGACGAAGCAUAAUUGUUGUCGUGUGCAGCCCUUACUAGUAUAUCGCAUCGGUGGAUGAACGUGAUUUAAAAGGCAUCAACGAAACAUUCGGUUCAAUGGUCAUAUUUAGCAAAACCUUGCCUAUUUAAACACCAUGAGCAGAGGACUAUUUCCUGUAUUGGUGGAGGAGAAAACUGAUGCUUCCUCCUAUUGGGAUACAGAUGCAGAGAACCCAAUUUUCAAAAGCUGGAGCUACAGCUGCGGCAAAUUAAAAUGGAAAUUAUGAUGGCAGUGGCCUACUUGUGUUUCACAAACCUUCCACUGAGAUUGAGACCAGCAUGCAAGACCAAAGUCAAAAAACACAACAAGAUUCACAAUAUGGAAUCGAAAGGAGCUGACAGGGUAGACUGAUAUAUUAAAACACAGAUGAUAACACAGAAAGACGUUUCAACAGCGGUAGUCUUCGAUAUGUUAAAGAUACUGCUGUGGGUGUACAUGGACUUCUGAAGCAUCAGUGUGAUUUACCACCUGUGUGAAAGCAACAUCUCCAGCCAGAAAUAAUCAUCCAAUUCCUGAGCAGCAUGAUACCAACACACAAUAGGGGAGACAAGCGCAUUUUCAAAAAAGCAAUCUCUAGUUAGAAUAACCUUUGGUUUUGAAAGGUUAGAAUAUUUGUGGUUGGAUGGCCAUAGGUGGCAGUGACAGUCAGGGAUGGUCAGCAUACACUUAAGUGAAAAAUAAAGUCUUUCAUGCGUACUGAAAACUAACCAUGGAUACUGGAGGCUAAUAGAACCAAGCAUGGACACUGGUAAAACCUACCCUGGAUGUUCAUAGAAACAACCAUGGAUGCUGAUAGAACCUACUGUAGAAGCCGAUAUGACCAACAUUGGACAAUAUCAUGACUUACCAUGGCAGUGAAAGAAUUGAAGAAUUGACCAAAAGCAGUAAAGUUCAAGCAUAUUCCUCAGGACCCCUACAUCUCUACAUAGAGGGACACGCAAACAGCCACAUCAUAUUCCUGAGGACCUUUACAUAUCUACAAGAAGGGACACACAAACAGACACAUCAUAUUCCUGAGGACGUUUACAUAUCUACUAGGAGGGACACAUAAACAGACACAUCAUAUUCCUGAGGACCUUUACAUCUCAACAUAAAGGGUCACACAAACAGCCACAUCAUAUUCCUGAGGACCUUUACUUCUCAACAAUGAGGGACACAGAAACAGACGCAUCAUAUUCCCGAGGACCUUUACAUCUCUACACGGAGGAACACACAAACAGCCACAUCAUAUUCCUGAGGACCUUUACUUCUCAACCUAAAGGGUCACACAAACAGCCACAUCAUAUUCCUGAGGACCUUCACAUCUCUACAAGGAGGGACAUACAAACAGCCACAUCAUAUUCCUGAGGACCUUUACAUCUCAAAAUAGAGGGACACACAAACAGCCACAUCAUAUUCCUGAGAACCUUUACAUCUCAAAAUAGAGGGACACACAAACAGCCACAUCAUAUUCCUGAGAACCUUUACAACUCAAAAUAGAGGGACACACAAACAGCCACAUCAUAUUCCUGAGAACCUUUACAACUCAAAAUAGAGGGACACAGAAACAGCCACAUCAUAUUCCUGAGGACCUUUACAUCUCAACAUAAUAGAGGGACACAUAAACAACCACAUCAUAUUCCUGAGGAUCUUUACAACUCAAAAUAGAGGGGCACACAAACAGCCACAUCAUAUUCCUGAAAACCUUUACAACUCAAAAUAGAGGGACACACAAACAGCCACAUCAUAUUCCUGAGAACCUUUACAACUCAAAAUAGAGGGACACACAAACAGCCACAUCAUAUUCCUGAGAACCUUUACAACUCAAAAUAGAGGGACACACAAACAGCCACAUCAUAUUCCUGAGGACCUUUACAUCUCAACAUAGAGGGACACAUAAACAACCACAUCAUAUUCCUGAGGAUCUUUACAACUCAAAAUAGAGGGGCACACAAACAGCCACAUCAUAUUCCUGAGGACCUUUACAUCUCAACAUAGAGGGACACAUAAACAACCACAUCAUAUUCCUGAGGAUCUUUACAACUCAAAAUAGAGGGGCACACAAACAGCCACAUCAUAUUCCUGAAAACCUUUACAUCUCAACAUAGAGGGACACAUAAACAACCACAUCAUAUUCCUGAGGAUCUUUACAACUCAAAAUAGAGGGACACACAAACAGCCACAUCAUGUUCCUGGAGACCUUUACAUCUCAAUAUUUAGUGACACACAAACAGCCAUAUCAUAUUCCUGAGGACCUUUCAGAAAAUUGAGUUAUUGUCCUGUGUUACGUUUCUUGAUCAGAACCAUUUUUGAAAACUACAGGAUGUAUUUCAACUACACAGGAUAGUUAAGCACAAUGAGAAUAAGUAGAGUGUACAAGAAACUGUUAAAGCUACUAACAGAUCGUUUGCCCUUUGUAACUUUUUCAUAACGAGCUGGCUCCGAUUUCGCGAAACUACUUUAGCUUUACAGGCUUAAGUAGCUUAUUUCAAACUGCCAAAAUAUAUAUUUAACUAGAUUUUGAUCAAUCAUAAAAACCUCUUCUGAUAAUCAUGAUGAUAAUUCCUUUCUCAAGUAUAAAAUCUCUUAAAGAAGUAAACAUUAUUAUUGAAAUCCAGAAAUAGUGAGCUUAGCUUAAUCCUGUUUAUAGGGACUUCAGAAGAUUCGAGAUUUCGGGGCCAGAGCAUUUCUUCAACAUUUCUAGAUCAAAUUCAGUGGAGCUUCAUUCAAUGAUAGAAUUGAAUGAGAGUAAGUACAUUAUACAAGAACUACUAGUCAAGUUAUUGCCAUGUAUGACAUUUUUCCUUGUCCGUAACUUAAAAAUACUUGUUAGAACUUAAUUAAACUACAUACAAUUGUAAAGCACAGUGAUAAUAAGUAAAGUUGACAUAACACUAUUAUACCUUAUAAAGAUGGCAUUAUUCCCCUGUCCGGAACAUAACUACUUGAUGAAACUUUAUGAAACAUUUUAAAGCACAAUGAGCGGAAAUCCAUUGUAUAAAAAGCAUAACUCUAUUUCAGCUCAGUGCAGAGCUACUGCCCUUUGUCACUUUUUUGUUCGGAAAACUUAAAUACUACUCGAUGGAAUUUAAUUUACAAGUCUGUUUUAGGGAAUAUUAGAAUAAUAAGGAAUGCUACACUUCUUUCCCUAGCGCCGGUUGGUGUCUCAGUUUGUUGAAGGAUUUGCAUAAUAGCAACAAUACAUUCAAGAUCUAAGAAAGUAUAUCAUGUAUUGAUUGAAAAAAUUAUAUGUGUUCUCAACAUAACUUAAUAAUUAUUAAUGAUUGUUUGAUUAUACGUAUAGGAAAACAAAGCAAAUUAUGGACCUUUUUCUUUUGACUUGGACAUUCUGAUUAAGGUUUUGCAUGUAAGCACACAUAUCAGCCACUAGUUGAUGCAUUGAUUGUAUUUCGACUUUAUACAAUGAUACUCAACCUUUCAUCCCAAUCAAAUAACCAAGUUUAAUUGUGACAUUUGUACUCAACUAUCCAACCUCUGAUUAGGCCAAUUGUAUAGUUCUUUUGGGUUGCUUAUGGCUUUUACGUCAAAACAAAUUGUUUAAGUUUUGCAUGUUAGAAAACAGCAUACUUGAUAAAUCGCAUUGAAACUUUAUACAAAGGUACCACACUGUCUUUCAAGUAGUGUUUGUUUCUUUUUUAUUCAAUUUCUUUCGUCUGGUUUAGGUUUUGCAUGUUAUCACAUUUAAUUCAAUAGCUCAGCAAUUACAUCAUGUACUACACUUUAUUAAAAAGACGCCCUAACGGUCAUAUUUUUGCUUACGGUUUUACUUGUUAGCAUAUGAAAUUCAAUCUAACAUCUAAUCCAUGUAUUGUUUUGAAACCUUAUACAGUUUGCUCACUCUGGAUUGCAUAUAAUGCAAAUCUGGCAAAGUUCUUUGGGCUUAAGCUUUUGCGAUAGAGGGAUUGUUCGUCGUCAACAUUUUUAUCGUAACAACAACUUUAUCACUACGACAAGAUCAAUUAAACUUCGCAGGAAUGUUCCUUGGGUGGUUCUUAUCCAGAUUUCGAUAAAAGUGAUCCAACUAAGGAACGGAUUGCGGAGUUGAUGUGUGUGUGGAGUCCGAAGGACUCCACGUGUACUUUGACCAGCCCAAUUGCGUUCAUAUCCCCGAUAAUGACAUCAACCCAGCAAUUAAUUCCUUAUAUUUACACCAAUAGUUCAUUAUUUUUUCAAGAAACGUUAAAAAUGUACUUCAUUUCAUUUCGGAUUACCUUUCAGUAAUCCUUUCUACUCAUUCUGU